AUUCCCCUAGUAACUGCGAGUGAAGCGGGAAGAGCUCAAAUUUAAAAUCUGGCGGCCUUGCCGUCCGAGUUGUAAUUUAGAGAAGCGUUUUCCGCGUCGGACCGUGUACAAGUCUCCUGGAACGGAGCGUCAUAGAGGGUGAGAAUCCCGUCUUUGACACGGACCCCCCGGUGCUCUGUGAUACGCUCUCGAAGAGUCGAGUUGUUUGGGAAUGCAGCUCAAAAUGGGUGGUGAACUCCAUCUAAAGCUAAAUAUUGGCGAGAGACCGAUAGCGAACAAGUACCGUGAGGGAAAGAUGAAAAGCACUUUGGAAAGAGAGUGAAACAGUACGUGAAAUUGCUGAAAGGGAAACGCUUGAAGUCAGUCGCGUCCGCCGGAAUUCAGCCUUCAUGGUGUACUUUCUGACGGACGGGCCAGCAUCACUUUUGAUCGCCGGAAAAGGGCAGAGGGAAUGUGGCACCUCCGGGUGUGUGUAUAGCCCCCUGUCGUAUACGGUGGUUGGGAGUGAGGACCCCUAUCUUUUGUAGGAUGCUGGCGUAAUGGCUUUAAACGACCCGUCUUGAAACACGGACCAAGGAGUCUAACAUGCCCGCGAGUGUUCGGGUGGAAAACCCGUGCGCGUAAUGAAAGUGAAAGUUGGGAAGGCUGUCGUGGCCUGCACCGACGCCCGGACCCGAGAUUUAUCAAAGGUUCUGCGGUAGAGCGUGUAUGUUGGGACCCGAAAGAUGGUGAACUAUGCCUGAAUAGGGUGAAGCCAGAGGAAACUCUGGUGGAGGCUCGUAGCGAUUCUGACGUGCAAAUCGAUCGUCAAAUUUGGGUAUAGGGGCGAAAGACUAAUCGAACCAU
rnacentral:rRNA from 1 species